UCACCUCCGCAGGCUGGCUGGUCCCCAGGCUGGACUGGGCAAGCAUCUCUUUGAUAAGCUCACCCUCACGCACGACUAGGAGC
rnacentral:pre_miRNA from 1 species